rnacentral:lncRNA from 1 species
CUUAACACUUGCAUUUCUGAACCACGUGUUUUCUUUUCUCUAUAGGUCACUUCUGUUCUGAUGGCCUUGCGGUCCCUCCGUGCCCAGCAGGGAGUUUCAAGCCCAAGGAGGGACUUCACACACCCAGCAGAAGCUCCUCAUGCUUGCGAGGAAUUGGAUUGUGUUGGAAGAAAUACAUGCUGGGUAUUUUUGUCCUGCUGGAGCAAGUUACCCGGUGCCGUGCCAGCCAGGUACAUACAAUCCUCUCCAAGGACCGGAUGAAGCCGCCGAUUGCCGAGCCUGCCCAGCAGGGAGAGCUUGUACUCAGACUGGUUCUGAGCAUAUUUGCUGGUGCUACAGUCACGUCUAUGGCUGGUGGCCAUAGUGCUGGGGAUUGGAGUUUGGACUCCAGGGUUCUCAUCUCAGCUAAGGAGACUGUGCUGAGGGAUUCUGGUGCCCGAGUAAGAAACCCCCAAGAUGGGAGAAUCAGGACUUCCUUGUCCUCCUGGUCAUUAUUGUCCUGAAGGUGCUCUGCUUCUGUUGCAGUGCCCUCCUGGCACGUGGUCUGGCAGUGAAGGUAGAAGGAGUGUGCAGGAAUGCCAGCCGUGUCCUGGGGGGUAUUACUGCAACAGCUCUGGGCAGAGGGCACCCUCAGGACACUGCAGCCCAGGGUAAGUAGGAGAACAUCACACUUAUGUACUCUGU